UGCAAUCUGAAAGCCUCCAGUACUUUAGCAUACCAACUGCUGGAAAGGAUUCAUAUGGAGGCUAUAAGUUAAAUGGCCACCAUGCACGAGACCCUCAUGUACAGUUUCUUAAUGAUGGGGAGAACAGGCAGCGGUGGACUGAUCGAUCAGGUGCGCAGUCUGCACCACUAUCAAAACCCAGAUUUAGCCGACCUCUCAGACCUCCAUCUUAUGAAGUGCACCAGCAGAUGCGUGGGAGCGCAGAGAUGCUCACAGGGGAGCCUGCUCCUCGUGCAAGAGACAGAACUCCACUCCCCUUCUCAAGGCAAGAAUACUUUGUUCAAGAACUUGCUGGAUCUGGUGUGGAGCCCCCCGGUUAUAUCCCUCCUCCAUCGUACAGGAGGCAGCCUGUAGUUAAUAGAGGUCACAGAACUUAUCCUAUCUCUAUGGGUAACCACCAAUACAGAGGUGACCCAUAUAUGCAGGAUUCUGCAAUGACAGAAGUGCAGGAAUGGUUUAUCAGGCAGACUGGGAUGGCUUGGCCAGACCGUUACAGAGAUGGAAGAAGAAGUAUGCCCUGCAGGAGACAGGCAUACCCAGGUUACAGUGAAGAACGGAUGGGUAAUGUUCAGUAUAUUCCCUUUGACGACCCCCGUGUCAGACACAUUUCAGGAGCAGGGAUAGAUGGAAACUCGUUGACGGAUGCAGACAAAAUCAGAAACAUCAGAAAUGAGAUUCCAGUCAACCUCUUAUCUGAGAAGUCUAACGACAGUGCCUUUCCUCUCACUGAGAAAUCCUUUGACCGCACUGAACCAGGUAAAAGCAAUAUUAGUGACUCUGUUAAUGAGGACAUACACAAGGAAGUGCUGAAGGAGACAGAAAGUUCAAACACAAUACCUGACCAAAACUGCAACAGACAUCCAGCUACCCAUGGAAAUAUAGUUGCUCUUCAGAUGACAAUGCAGCAGAACUCAAACCAGGGUUUGAUUGAGACAGUGACGCAAGUAAAGAAAUUUGAGGCAAAAACUGUGUCUGAG
ensembl:lncRNA